AUUAACCCAUCUUUUCUAUACAUCACCACAUGGCUCUUGGCUUACUGCUCCUUUAGCAUCUUGCUUCUUGGGUGGCUAGCUUGUAUCUCCUGACCACGCCCCUCUUCCUCUGAGUCCUGUUUGAUUCUUCCGCCUAACCUUAUCCUGCCUUGCCAUAGGCCAAAACAGCUUUAUUAUCAACCAAUGACAUCAAUGCAAAUUCACAGCAUACAGAAGGACCACCCCACAGCAGGGGUCUUUGAUCUACUGUGGGGACCUCCAAGGCAGUAGGGGGAGGUUCCAAGACUGCCCCGGUGAACUGUUAUUCAAAGUCCACGAAUAGGCAGAUAGCAUUUUUUUUAACUAAUGCCCUCUUGAAUAUAACUGAAUAUUAUAUUCUUCUGGAAGAUUCCAAGUACAUAAACAUAGCAGGAACUCUGAAAAGCCUAACAAUAUUUCUAAAAACUUCUCUUUCCAGCCUACAGCUCCACUUUUCACCAUUACAAAGAGUUGCUACUUCAAAGAAAAAGUGUAAGCACGGUGGUUAAGAAACACUCAACUAAAGAAUUUGCAAUUAGGAGCAUUGGAGUCUCCAGGUUUUCGAGUUUCACCAAGCCAGAGCAUACUACGUUAUUCCUCUUCUACUGUUGAAGAAUAUGCCAUUGGGUGACUAUAACACAUUCUUUAUUCAGUCGGCACACAGCAUUGGGCUGGGCCCACCGUUCACUAGCAUGAAUAUGUUUCAAUCCUAUCAACAGGGAGUUGUCAGCCAAGGAAGGACUAUCAAGUGUUUGAAACAGGAGGCAAUGAAUUGGAAGUGGAUUUUUGAGGGUCCCCAAAAGAGUGGCAGCAGCCCAGCGGUGGUGGCGCACGCCUUUAAUCCCAGCACUCGGGAGGCAGAGCCAGGCGGAUCUCUGUGAGUUCGAGGCCAGCCUGGUCUACAGAGUGAGAACCAGGCAAGUUAGAGCCAUCAUACACAGAAGGCCUGUGUGUGCGAGUCAGGGGUGAGGUGGGCGGCCGCAAGGAGCCUCUCACCUCAGAACCGGAUGAAGAGCGGCUGCCCGAAGGCAUGGAGUGGGGGGGGGACCCACUUGUUUUUCU